CUCUGAUAAUACUGUUUGGCUGUCUUGAUUAUAAUCUAACUUUAUUUGUAUUUAUUUUCAUUAUGUUUGAAAUAUAAUAUACUGUUACAUAUUUUAAUUAGAAUAUUAAUUUGCGAUCGAAUUUAAUAUCGUUAUUUAUAUGAUAGAUUUGAAGUGAAUUUAGAAAACAAAGUGUUUUCUAAUUCGUCUAUUUUAUUCGUAAAUAGAAAAUAUAAUCCGUUUUUGCAGAUAGAUUAUAGAUUGGUUAAACUGAGGUUAUGUACAAUUUUUGUAUUUAUUGUAUUAUAUCGUACUACGUAGAACAUAAGUUCAAAGUUUUAGAACAAUUUUUUAGAAACGCAUAAUGAGCUAAAAAAUAGAGGAAGAGUAGGAAACGAUAUGUCCCGUCCUUAGACACGGUGGCCAUCUGGCUAGUAUCGGCGCUGAAACCGAAAUCAUGAACUCCGGACGUAUGCCCAGCGAGGUCAAAUGCCUUGGCCACUGUCUUGAACUCUCCAGAUUUGCUGAAGACCACCUCCCACACGUUCACAUCCGGUGUAAAGCCUUGCGAGUGGAAAGUAUUAAAAGAUAAAAUAUAUAUUUUUCUCAUA